GACGAACGCUGGCGGCGCGCUUAACACAUGCAAGUCGUGCGGUACCGAUGGCAAGUCUUCAUGACGAGCCUUCGGUAUAGCGGCGGACGGGUGAGUAACACGUGAGUAGCUGUCCUAGGGAGGGGGAUAACGCCUGGAAACGGGUGCUAAAACCCCAUAAGCCUCGCAAGAGGUGAAAGUGUACUUGUUACAGCCUUAGGGUGUGCUCGCGGCCUAUCAGCUAGUUGGUGAGGUAAGGGCUCACCAAGGCUAAGACGGGUAGCCGGCCUGAGAGGGUGUACGGCCACACUGGAAUUGAGAUACGGUCCAGACUCCUACGGGAGGCAGCAGUGGGGAAUUUUGGGCAAUGGGCGAAAGCCUGACCCAGCGACGCCGCGUUGGGGAUGAAGUCCUUCGGGGCGUAAACCCAUGUUGUAGGGGAAGAAGAAAGUGACGGUACCCUACGAGAAAGCCCCGGCCAACUACGUGCCAGGAGCCGCGGUAAAGAGUAGUACA
rnacentral:rRNA from 1 species